rnacentral:tRNA from 1 species
GAGAAGCGUAUUGAACACCAGGAACUGCUAACUCCUACUACUGAAGUUAAAAUCCUCAGGCCUCUCA